AUGUCCUAAGCUGGGAGCUGCAAGGGAGAAUUCCUGUCAUUCCUGGCCUCAGCUCUGCAGGGACCCAGGGCGAGGCACGCCUGGGCCCCAGGUGUGGCGUCUCCGUCCCCAUCUGGUUUUAGGCGUGUUACACCUCCACACGCAUUAGGGAUCCAGGUAAGCCCAGCGGCCCGAAGGUCUUUACUGUCUGAUGACACUGCAGUAAGUAACCUUUUUUGCCGAACACUUCAUAAGCACAAUCAGGUACUCCGUGGGUCACAGCCUAGCGGACAAUUUAAGUAUAAAUGAUAUACACCAAGAUAACAACCUCGAUAGCUGUAUUUACGGUAUCCUCCCCUCAGGUAUUACAUUUUGGUUGAGUAUGGAAAAUAUCUGUAUGAUUUCACACGCAGUAUUUGACUGAGACAGGUGGGGCCACCUGAGGCCAAUUCAAGGCCUUCUGGGAACUGUAGUUCUCUUUGGUUAACUAUUCCAGAGCUUUCUGGGAAUUGUAGUUUUCCCUGCACCUUAAUCCAAACUAACGUUCCUUUUUUUUUGUUUUUUUAAAGACACGAACCAUUUACCCCAAACAAAAUAUAAUUAAACACAGACUCCUGCUUACAAUUUCCGUGGGCAUGUUGGCCACAUGUAGCUCAUCCCUAGCACCGAUCUUAAGCCCCUCAAAUAGAGUUCAUGUGCAUCCUCACGACUGCCAAUCACUUGUACUGUGAGGUACCUGGGGAAGUGCUGAGAUUGCAGAACUGGUGGAGGGCUGGGGGCGGGGGCUUGGAGGGAGUCCCUGGCCAGAGGAGCUCACUUGUCACACUCCUCUCCCAUCACACUGGGCUCCUUCAGGCAAGGGACAUGCAUGAGUUGUGACCUCUAGGUAUUGAGAAUGCAGCAUCAUAGAGGCUGUCUAGAGCAGGAUAGUCAUAUACACGCAGUUGCCAGAGUGUAGAAAGAAAGAAAAAGUUUUUUUUUUGUUUUUUAUUUUGUGG